UCCCUGAUUGUCCAGUGGUUAAGACUCGGUGCUUCCAAUGCAGUGACCCAGGUUUGAUCCCUGGUCAGGCAA
rnacentral:tRNA from 1 species